rnacentral:ncRNA from 1 species
GAGGAAGCCGGUGUGAAUCCGGCGCGGUACCGCCACUGUGAGCGGCGCUUCGACAAGCGUCUGCGAGCCAGAUACUC